rnacentral:lncRNA from 1 species
AAACACAAAGACAAAUACUACCAUUUAGUAUAAAAUUGACAACUGACAGUGGAUACUGGCAAUUCAAAAUACUUCCCCAAAUUUAGGAUAUGCAACAUCAGCAUAAUCCACUUGUGGAAAAAAUAUGCAUAAGAUCAACAUACCUCUCCCAUGCUAGCCUGAAGGAACAGAUACUAAAUUUAUCUCAAGACUGUUACACAAUACUUUUUCCUCUUAAGUCCCUAUAUACAUUUUCUCGUGCUAACAUAGGUAAUGUCAAAAAUAAAUGCCCCUCAAAACCAAUUGUGUACUAUGUGGGUAAUGACAAAGGUGGAAGAGUUGUGUUCAUUAUUGCUUACUGAGCACCUAUUAGGGCAAGCAUGGACCUGGCACUUUAUCGUGCACUUCACUUUGUAUUUUUUAGCACAUUCUCACAGCACGUGAUGAUUUCCUUCCUGGGGUUGGUGCAGGUACAGGGCACAUCUUAAUUCCUUUUCUCAUGCCCUCCCCUCCUUCCAUCUCUCGACCCCCUCGUUUGAGAAAGAUCCCUUCCUAUCUUUUACGUUGCUCUUUAUGUUGGGCCAUCUCCUUUGACACUCACACAGCUAUGUGGUAGAUACGCAUUAGCCCACUUUACACUUGCAAAACUAAAGCACAGAGGUAAAACCCCACGCAAACCAGUGAACUUGCCAGGAUUUUCUUGCCACUCUGCAUUUCUUAGGAGCAAAGGGGAAAACUCUGCUGCAUACAUGUAAUGGAGAGGAUAGAAAACUCACUUCCACGGCUAUUUUACUUAAUUCUUCAUGUUUUAUGUUUGAGUUUAAAUCAGUGAAAUUCUAAGAUGGUUUCUUUUCUCCACAAUGUGAUUUUGCCAGUUACACCAAUAGCUCUCUUGGCUUUGCUUUUUUUACCCUCAGGGCUUCCUGGUCCUCGAGGCGAGAAAAGGCGACCUAGGAGAAAAGGGAGAGAAGGGUCCGGAUGGAUUACCCAUGCCCGGCUGCUGGCAGAAGUGAUGAAUUAACUUUCCAAGCAUGAAGUUGUAUAUAUUAUGGUCCACUUUCUAUAUUUAUAGUUGAAAACCGAACUGCAGAUUUUACAAGUCUGAGCUAUGUUUACAUAGAGCUGCUUCUUCCUGUGUGCUAUAGUACACACGCAUCAUUUCUCCACUUGCAUCCGAAAUUGGGCAAUUUAGGGAACCAGUGAGAAGCCUGCAAAGAAUAUAGACCAGUGUCCCUUACAUGAGGAUAUGUAUUUAUACGGACUUCAGUGAUAGACAGUGAAUGUUCUUGCUAUUUUCUUACUUUGAGCAUUGCAUGGGCUAAAAGCUCCAUGAAAUCGCUUACAUGAAAUUGUGACCAAAUAUGGACUCAAGGCUACGAAUGUGUACUAUUCCGACUGAUUUGUCUGUUGUCACCUCCACUCACCUUCCCUCCUAGCAUUGGCACCACUGAAUCUGACUAAAGAAAGCAUGCGUGUGCGCCCAACCUGCUUGCUGUGCAAACCCAGAUGGUUGCAUGCUGCCUGACCACCCCCUGCAGGCUCAUCUGAGCUUAUUCCUUUUGUCGUCUCAAGGGGGUUACACCAUGGCUUAUUGCCAAAAAGAGAUAAGUUGGCGGAGAGCACACACACGGUUGGUCUGAUAUUUUGAGGGCGUUGCAGAUCUACAGCUUCUGGUGUUAUGGCCUUGGGUGAAAUGCCAAGGGGCUGAGCCGAUGGCUGCUGCCAGUUUUCCUUGGGCUGCCCUUGCCAGUGAAGCCGCGAGAAGAAGAAUGGCUAGGCAUGCCGCACCGUCUCUCAUGUGACCACGUAGGAAAGCGGUUUACAGAGGCGAACACCCAGAAUAGCAGACUUUCUUGUUUAAUAAACUGGAUCCCAGCGAGCGUUCAUCUGGGUGCUUUUGGAAGUGACAGAGGCUGCGGCUCUUUUGGGACCAGAAGUCUUUGGGAUGGCCAUGCCGGCCUGAGGACAGAGGGUAUGCACGUGCCAUCAAAGCUCGAUUACUGAAGACGCGCGUCCCCAGGAAGCUCUGCCUCACGCCCUCCUGAAAGUCCAGGGGCUCCCGGACGCCUCUGCCACAGUCCCGUGGCAUCUUUUCCUCCGUCCGGUCCACCCAUCGCCAGCCUUUCCUACACGUUCUCGAGAGAAACGAAGAUAGGGUUCUCCGUUCUUUUCGGAUACUUUUUUCUUUUACUCGGAGGAAUAUUUAGAAAAUUUGUUUCAGUUUUUGUCAUAUCUUCUUUGAACAGUUUCCUAAAGGUCUUCAAAAUCAUACUAAUUCAGUGCCAACAGUCAAAUGACUUUUUACUAACAUCUUUGUUUUAGAUAACUGGAGAGAACAAAAAAGCUCCAAUUUCAGUUUAAUCAUUGUAAAGCAUGAAAGUUCAGCUUUAGUACUUUUUUACUUUUUUACAUGAUGAAUGUAAUAUACAUAGAGAUUAUCGGUUAAUAUAAAGCCAAGAUUUUAUCACCUUUGAUAACUAACUCAUUCUAUUUCUUAUUAUUGCUUUUUUAAGUUUUUCUACAUUUGGAUUUCUUUUUACAUUUCUAAGUGUUUCUCUUAUCCACAGACCAAAUCUGAGAUCUCAGAAAUCUGUGAAACAUAGUUGCCAUAAGAGUAGGAUUUUUUCAUCUACUUGCUCAAAAAUUACCUAACCAUGUUAGACUAGAAUUUAUUUGCACAGAAAGAGUUGGUGGCAGGGUAUGAAGUGGCUAAGUGGAAAGUUUACGUGGGGAGAAACAUGUUCAUGAGAAAGGCCACCCCACUGGCCCAUUCGAGAAUGUAACGGCCCUAAUGAUUCUGUACCAUGUUGUGGGAAAUGUUCUCAUUUUCACCCCCAGUGAGGAAAUCAGCUCACCAUUAGCUUAUGGUAACAACAGAUAAGAUAGAAUUCCAAGAUGAAGAUUUGUGACCCAGUGCUCAAUUAUACAAAAAAAAAAUUAUGACAUUUUCAAGGUUAGAGAGAUGUUUAAACUAUUAGAUCUGCCUACUUGGUAGUAAUUCUAGUAACAUUCCACAGCCCUAAGACAAUUUAGCAUUUUUAAAAUAAUGAGAGGGCAUUUUCUAACAAUUUUUUGUAUGACAUGCUUAGGAUAAUGUAUUAAUGUCUGAAACAAUUUGUCUUAAAUGGUUUGGAAAGAUUAAACUGGAGUAGAACUAUGUUCUCUUCAGAAAAACCAAUGAUAAAGUCUUGAGAAAAAGUCUGGUGACUAUAUUUCUUCUAUCUUCCUUUCUAUUCCUUAGUAGAGAAGAAUCAUUAAAUUAAAAUUUGUAAAGCCUCCAAUGAGAAUACCUCUACAUCAAAAGAGAAGCAUUUCACAUAUAAAAAUGUUUUUGUACAUAGUCCUUUGAAGAAUACAAUCCUGUGGGUAUAUUGGAAUUUUGCCCUAUAACUAGCUUGACAACAUCAGUUUAUUCAAUGAUUAAAGGAAGCCCUAAAUUUCCAUUACAUUUAUUUCCUUGGGAAAAACAAAGGAAUGAUGAAACUCCUCUUUGUUCAACAGAAGUGCUAGGUCUUAGCCAGCAUAGAUAAUCUUAAACUUUAGGUUAUCAAAAUAUUUUCAAACAUCCAUUUUGUCACUGAUAUGGAGAAUCCUCAAAUAAGGUCCAAAGUAAUAAUGAAUUAUAGUUGAUAAAUGUGUUGGCAGAUUAACAUUUUUCUUAAAGAUUUCUUUUAAUUUAUAAGGUAGAGAACUGAGAAACUAUAGUGACAAUAAAUGAAGGUCAAAUUUUACUUCUGAUAAAACAUUUUUAAAGGAUGCAAACUGUUGUAUGUUUUAGCAUUAAAAUUUUUUUCCAUUCCUAUUGAUUGGUGCUAAUAUAUUAUUUCUUUCAUUUUUUUCUUUUAUCGAUAAUGCAACUUACUAUGGAUAAUUUCAUUUCUCUAAUUGCAUUCCUAAGCUUUUUGUGUGUGAUUUUAUUUUUAAAGUUCGUGAAUUUGCUGUAGUUAUGGUUCAAUGACCAGCCUUUCUUACUGUAAAACAGUGUGCCUAUGGAUGAUGUGUUUUUACUUGGAUGGUGGAUCCCCUUGGUUCCUGUUCAUUUCAUGCAUCAUAUGCCUUUAUAAACUUUUUUGGGGGUACUGGGGAUCGAACUCAGGACCUUGCACUUUGUGAAGCAGGCAGCGGAACCGCUGAGCUAAAUCCCUGGCCCGCCUUUAUAAACUUUUAUUCAUCUCGUCUUUUAACUUACAUAAUUUGAUUAAAAUUAAUACAAACUGUGUGCAAGAAGUCUGCACACUCCACAUAGAGUCCCUGGUGUGUCACACACCUAAACUACUCUUCCGGUUUUCACUAUCAAAAUCAGUCCUGGGGGGGAGGGUUUCUUUUCUUGUGAUUUGGCAGAGAACAAUGGAAUAUCUGUCAUUUCUAUGAGUAGAAAAGUCUUGUUCUUGAACUUACAGUGUGUGCACAUGAUGUUCUACUGGGACAGCAAGAACUUACUCUUAAAGUGAUUUAUAUGCGCGUCCUUUGUCUACAGUAUGCGAAUAUAUCUGCUCCUUUGGAGAUUAGGAAAAGUGCUUAAUUUCUAAGUUUUAAAAUUUUACUAUUGAAGCAUAAAAAGUUAUUUUUUAUCCUUUUGCUCCCGCUACAUACAGUAUCAUCUUACCUAGAAUUCAUAAGCAACACAGAUGCUGAUAUUGACACAUUAACAAGAAAUAAAAAUAUUUUAAUAUAUAACACUACCAAAAAAAUUAAUUUUCUAAUCUUUGCAAACACUUGAUAUCUCUAGGAAGUCAAGGUCAAAGAAAUCUUAUCUUUCCAAAAAGAGUAAGAACCUAUUGUAUGCUGGCUGUUAAAAAACAAAAUCUCACAGCCCUAAUAGAAUUUCCAUGUUUGAUCAGUUAUAGUUCUGCCAAAUUGUUUUAGGACAUAAAAAUCUUCAGUCUUUACUUUCAAUUUUUCUUCACAUAUUGGCUAGAUUUGUUACAUGCUGGAAGAGAUAUUCCUCCAACUUAAAUUUUUACUGAUUUUAGUUUUUUGCUAAUCCAAUCUUAGUACAGUAUUUUUUCAUUAAAAAUACAUUAAAUGCAUAAAUUGCCUAUGCUGCUUAUUAACAGAAUGCUCUUUUGGAAAUAGGAAGACCUUUUCAAUCUUACUUGUUAUGUUUGAUUUAUCGACAAUAAAGGAAGUACCAACAGUUCCCAAAAUACAUUUGAUAGUCUCUCACAUAUCUCAGAAAUAUUAAUGAAUUGGAUUCACAAAAGAAUGUCUUACAUAUUUGUUGACAUUUAUGUGAAUAUACUUUAUAUUGUAAACGUUUCAUUCAACUUAACAUUUUUGAAAGAUGUAUCUGAUUUUUCUUUAGGAAAUAUAUUUUUGUGUUUUUCACAUUUUAAAGUUCAUCUUUAGGUGCAGCUAUUUUUGUUGCCAAACUCACAAAGUGGGAAACUCAAAAAAAAAAAAAAAAUGGCAAGCAUUACAGAGUAGUUUUCUUUAAAAUGUUUUGUGGGCCAGUCUCAUGUAAUUGAUCAUUCUGAGAAUGUGUUGUGUCUUAUCAAUGUAAAUAUGGCACACACCCAAUUAUCUCAGUAGUGUACAUAUUUGAAAGACUGAAUUCUCCCUGUUUGAUUUCUUAUUUCAGUUUCAUUGUACUUUCUUUGGCUGACAUUACUGAAUCAAAAGACGCAUGAAGUUUUUUGAUUUGCAGUUUGGAAAUAAUUGCAUUGUGUUCGGUUUCUAAUUUGUUUUUAUUUGCUUCUUAAACUUGUUUUCAGGGUUAGUAGGUUGUGAGAAGUUGAUCUUCAGAAUUAUUUUUACACUAUUUAUGAUUUAUUUUCAUAAUGUAAAAAGUGUGUAAUUAUUACAGUAUUAAUCCAAACAAUGAUCAUGAAUUGUAUUGUUAUAAAGCUUUACUGAUGUUCGUGGA